rnacentral:rRNA from 1 species
UACAGAGGGUGCGAGCGUUAAUCGGAAUUACUGGGCGUAAAGCGUGCGUAGAUGGUUAUGUAAGUCGGAUGUGAAAGCCCCGGGCUCAACCUGGGAACUGCGUCUGAUACUGGAUGGCUUGAAUCCGGGAGAGGGAUGCAGAAUUCCAGGUGUAGCGGUGAAAUGCGUAGAUAUCUGGAGGAAUACCGGUGGCGAAGGCGGCAUCCUGGACCGGCAUUGACGCUGAGGAGCGAAAGCCAGGGGAGCAAACGGG